rnacentral:rRNA from 1 species
AGUAACGCGUGGGUAACCUGCCUCAUACAGGGGGAUAACAGUUGGAAACGGCUGCUAAUACCGCAUAAGCGCACAGCAUCGCAUGAUGCAGUGUGAAAAACUCCGGUGGUAUAAGAUGGACCCGCGUUGGAUUAGCUAGUUGGUGAGGUAACGGCCCACCAAGGCGACGAUCCAUAGCCGACCUGAGAGGGUGACCGGCCACAUUGGGACUGAGACACGGCCCAA